GCACUGAACACGGAAAAGAGACUCGUGCAAGUUUGUCAGCAUGAAUCAGAGGUGGGAAACCUUUGGAAAGACCUGCCACACUGAAAGGAAUUAAAAUUAACUACCUGGAAGGUUGUGUCCUGGUAUAGAAGAAUUGAGAGAGAAUGGGGGAAAAACAUUCAUAUUUAAGAAGAACACUAACAAAAUAUACACAUUUCUCAUUUAUCUGGACUGGCACAUUUAUUGGCCCACUGUUUCCACCAGUCCAUUACUCUUUGUUCCAUCGUGCUAAUUACACGCCCGGGCUCUUGGAGCGCGCAUCCAACUCAGCGGCGCUCACGCUGCGGGUGAAUUAAUUAAAGCACCAAGAAAUUCAUGCUCAGCAAGGAGAACAAUUGGCUGG